rnacentral:rRNA from 1 species
UACGGAAGGCAGCAGUGGGGAAUAUUGCACAAUGGGCGCAAGCCUGAUGCAGCCAUGCCGCGUGUAUGAAGAAGGCCUUCGGGUUGUAAAGUACUUUCAGUCGUGAGGAAGGUGUUAAGGUUAAUAACCUUAGCAAUUGACGUUAGCGACAGAAGAAGCACCGGCUAACUCCGUGCCAGCAGCCGCGGUAAUACGGAGGGUGCGAGCGUUAAUCGGAAUUACUGGGCGUAAAGGGCACGCAGGCGGUUAAUUAAGUUGGAUGUGAAAUCCCCGGGCUUAACCUGGGAAUGGCAUUCAAGACUGGUUAGCUAGAGUCUUGUAGAGGGGGUAGAAUUCCAUGUGUAGCGGUGAAAUGCGUAGAGAUGUGGAGGAAUACCGGUGGCGAAGGCGGCCCCUGGACAAAGACUGACGCUCAUGUGCGAAAGCGUGGGGAGCAAACAGGAUUAGAUAC